rnacentral:lncRNA from 1 species
UGCUUAAAUGCCCACUGCUCUUGCCCGUGACACUGUACUGCUCUAUUAACCCAGGGGAAGAGCUAUAAGCAAGCAAUGCUGCAAGCGUUAGUUAACAGCCCGUGUUUAAGUUGUCCAGGAGGGUCACAAUACUUCUGUGUUAGAGGUGGCUGUUGCUCAAUAAUGCCAUCAUUGAUCAUGAGCUCUGUUAAGGACUUAGUAUUCUCUCAAAAGCGUUUCCCAUGACCACUGUCAGAGAUAGCUAUGAUGUAUAGCUGACCGAUAUUAUACCUACUUUAUAGAUGAUGAACUGCAGUUGAAUGAAGUAUAUACAUUCCCAAAAUUCUCAGUUAUUGGUCUGUCUAACCAAAAGUAUAUUACUACUUGUGUGUGUGUGUGUGUGUGCGUGUACCUGUGUGAGUGCAUGUGCACGCGUGUGUCUGUGGAGGUGGGGGUAUGUACACGUGUAUAUCUGGGUACAUAUACAGAAGCCACAGAAAGAUAUCAGAUGCUAUGCUACUUUAGAUUAAGUCUUACAUCUCCUGCCCUGUAUUAUUCCCUGAGACAGUGUCCCACACUGCUAGGCCAUCAGACCAGAAGCCCUAGCCAGCCUCCUGUCUCUGGCAUCCAUAUCGAUUGGAUUCCAGGCAUGCACCACCAUGCCUGGCUUUCUCAUAGGUGCUGGGACCUCAGUUCAGGUCUUUAUUCUUGCACAGCAAGUUUCUUUAUCCACUGAGCCAAUUCUCUGGGCCCCCAUUACUUAAUUUUUUAAGUGAAUAUUUCAUGUUCCUCGGUUUUGUUCUGCUGAAAUCCUUCAUUGGUAAUGAUGAGCAGUAGACAUCAAUAGAAAAAACAAGACUGUCCCUCCAUGUCCCAGAACAAAGUCAAGUACCUGAUCUAUUAGUAAUUAUCUGAGUAUCACUGCCAGAAAGCAGCGACUUCACUUCAUGGGAAAGAACAAAGGCAGAGCAUUGAAUUAGGUUUGUUCUUUGUGAAAUCAGGCUUCCAUUUUCCUAGCCAGGCUUCCACAGGAAAACUUAGUGAAAUAUUCUCCCAAUGGCCACAAGAUGGCGGUGAGAACAAAAGAGACAGUGAAAUUUAUAAACCACAUGCAACCCUCCUUUCAAACAGUUGUAGAAUUUAUUUUCUAUGUGUCUCGUUGAAUUCAGACUAAUAACCAAUGUCAGAAAUAUCUGACCUUCUAUUUCUCCAAUAUGAAACUGUGUUUUAUUUCCAAUUUGGAAUGGAACUUUGAUAAAUUUGAGAAAAUAGCCAAUUCUUUCUUUCUCUUUCUUUCUUUCUUUCUUUUUUUUUUUCUUUUUUUCUUUUUUCUGAAGAUUAGCCAAAAAAAGAGAGCUCCUGGCAUCAUGCCUAUUCAAUAACUUUGGCCAUCGCUGUAGCAAAAUUAUAGUAAAUUGAAUGU